rnacentral:rRNA from 1 species
UUUCCGGUUGAUCCUGCCGGACCUGACUGCUAUCGGAUUGAUACUAAGCCAUGCGAGUCAUUGUAGCAAUACAAGGCAUACGGCUCAGUAACGCGUAGUCAACCUAACCUAUGGACGGGAAUAACCUCGGGAAACUGAGAAUAAUGCCCGAUAGAACAUUAUGCCUGGAAUGGUUUAUGUUCCAAAUGAUUUAUCGCCGUAGGAUGGGACUGCGGCCUAUCAGUUUGUUGGUGAGGUAAUGGCCCACCAAGACUAUUACAGGUACGGGCUCUGAGAGGAGUAGCCCGGAGAUGGGUACUGAGACACGGACCCAGGCCCUAUGGGGCGCAGCAGGCGAGAAAACUUUGCAAUGUGCGAAAGCACGACAAGGUUAAUCCGAGUGGUU